UUGAAUGCAGAAGAGUUGGCACUGUAUGUCGUCUCCUGAGAAUGCUUAUCAAAUAUCAGCACUGCUGCUAGAACUAUGGAGAAACUGAAAAGUUGAAGAGGCUUCCUAAGGCCACAGGGUAAGGCAAGGCCUAGGCUGUUUAGAGAACACUCAUAUCCUGGCCUGAACAACAGAACACAGUCAAGAACUGGGUGACCGUGUACCCUCUGUACUCUGAAGAUGAUGAAGAUGAUGAAGAGGUGGUUCCAAAAGCCCCCAGACCCAAUUCCCAGGGGGUGGGCUGGGGGUGGACCAGGGCAAAAGCUACGGGAUGGACAAA